rnacentral:pre_miRNA from 14 species
UAGAACAUCGGUUUUAAAUGAGUGCUUGCACGAUGUGGUCUUUCAUAGCACUUCCGUUUAAAACACUGAUCGAACAGUGUUUUAAAUGGAAGUGCUAUGAAAGACCACAUCGUGCAAGCACUCAUUUAAAACCGAUGUUC